rnacentral:rRNA from 1 species
ACGUAGGGUGCGAGCGUUAAUCGGAAUUACUGGGCGUAAAGCGUGCGCAGGCGGUUCGUUAUGUCCGUUGUGAAAGCCCCGGGCUCAACCUGGGAAUGGCAAUGGAAACUGGCGGGCUAGAGUGUGGCAGAGGAAGGUGGAAUUCCACGUGUAGCGGUGAAAUGCGUAGAGAUGUGGAGGAACACCGAUGGCGAAGGCAGCCUUCUGGGCCAACACUGACGCUCAUGCACGAAAGCGUGGGGAGCAAACAGGA